GACGAACGCUGGCGGCGUGCCUAAUACAUGCAAGUCGAGCGAAGUUUUUCUGGUGCUUGCACUAGAAAAACUUAGCGGCGAACGGGUGAGUAACACGUAAAGAACCUGCCUCAUAGACUGGGACAACUAUUGGAAACGAUAGCUAAUACCGGAUAACAUUAUUUCUCGCAUGGGAGAUAUUUAAAAGUUGUUUUUGCUAACACUAUGAGAUGGCUUUGCGGUGCAUUAGCUAGUUGGUGGGGUAAAGGCCCACCAAGGCGACGAUGCAUAACCGACCUGAGAGGGUGAUCGGCCACACUGGGACUGAGACACGGCCCAGACUCCUACGGGAGGCAGCAGUAGGGAAUCUUCCGCAAUGGGCGAAAGCCUGACGGAGCAACGCCGCGUGAGUGAAGAAGGAUUUCGGUUCGUAAAGCUCUGUUGUUAGGGAAGAAUGGAUAUGUAGUAACUAUACAUGUAAGAGACGGUACCUAACCAGAAAGCCACGGCUAACUACGUG
rnacentral:rRNA from 1 species